rnacentral:rRNA from 1 species
GCAAUCUGGAGCAAAACCCAAAAAAUAAGUCUCAGUUCGGAUUGAAGGCUGAAAUUCGCCUUCAUGAAGCUGGAAUUGCUAGUAAUGGCAGGUCAGCAUACUGCCGUGAAUACGUUCCCGGGCCUUGUACACACCGCCCGUCACACCAUGAGAGUUGGGAAUACCCGAAGCCUGUGAGCUAACUUUAAGAGGCAGCAGUCGAAGGUAGAAUCAAUGAUUGGGGUGAAGUCGUAACAAGGUACC